rnacentral:rRNA from 1 species
GACAGAGGUGCCAAGCGUUAGGCGGAAUCACUGGGCUUAAAGCGUGUGUAGGCGGGUCGUUAAGUACCUUGUGAAAUCCCACGGCUCACCCGUGGAACUGCUGGGCAUACUGGGCGUCUUGGGCCAACUAGGGGCAGCCGGAACAAGCGGUGGAGCGGUGAAAUGCGUAGAUAUCGCUUGGAACGCCGAAGGUGAAAACAGGCUGCUGGGGUUGCGCCGACGCUGAGACACGAAAGCCAGGGGAGCAAACGGG